UACGUAGGUGGCGAGCGUUGUCCGGAUUUAUUGGGCGUAAAGAGCUCGUAGGCGGCUUGGUAAGUCGGGUGUGAAACCUCCAGGCUCAACCUGGAGCCGCCACUCGAUACUGCCAUGGCUAGAGUCCGGUAGAGGGUCACGGAAUUCCUGGUGUAGCGGUGAAAUGCGCAGAUAUCAGGAGGAACACAGGUGGCGAAGGCGGUGGCCUGGGUCGGUACUGACGCUGAGGAGCGAAAGCGUGGGGAGCAAACAGG
rnacentral:rRNA from 1 species